CGCGACCCAAAGCAUUUCUCCCCCGGACCCCCUACCCUCAUUUUUGUGGGAUUCAACUUACGUCAGGGCCCCUAACCUCUCCACUAACUCCGGGGGCGCCCCCUGGCGGGAAGGAGUCUGGGGCCUCGGAACAGGCGAGAGAGAGGAUGGUGGUGAUCCCACUACAUUCUGGACCGACACGGGAAGCCCCCUACUAAGCUUCCCUUAAAAGGGAGAGGGACACUCGCGGACUCGCUCUGGGGCGCGGGCAGCUCGAAGGAAAGUUUUGCAGUUGCUGCGGAGACUUGAGACCAGAAAGACAUUUGGGAAGGAUCCUCGUGGCGGCACCGCUGAUUCGCCCCCAGGCUCGUUUCAGAGGCUGGCUAUACAGAACAAGUUGAAAAAUACUCCUUCAUCUUCAGUUUUCCAGAAGAAUUUGUGAAGAACUUGUAUGUCAUCCUCAAAUGCUUGAAUGUUUGGUAGACAUCACCAGUGAAGUCAUCUGGCCUGAACUUCCUUUGUGGAAAGAUUAUACAUGUGUAUUAUGAAAACAGAUAUUCGAAUUACCUAUUUCUUCCUGAAUGAUCUUUGUUUGGUAGUUUGUGUCUUUCAGUGAAUGUAUCCAUUUCAUAUAAGUUGCUUAAGUAAAAUUAUUCAUAUAAGCUA